GACGAACGCUGGCGGCGUGGAUUAGGCAUGCAAGUCGAACGGUAUCAUCCUUUCGGGGGUGAGAGAGUGGCGAACUGGUGAGUAACACGUAGGUUAUCUACCCUCAAGACGGGGACAACCCAGGGAAACUUGGGCUAAUACCGGAUGUGAGCAACUUUUAGUUGUUUGAAAGGUGGCGUAAGCUGUCGCUUGGGGAUGAGCCUGCGUCCUAUUAGUUAGUUGGUGAGGUAACGGCUCACCUAGGCAAUGAUAGGUAGGCGGCCUUAACGGGUGGUCGCCCACACUGGGAUUGAGAUACGGCCCAGACUCCUACGGGAGGCAGCAGUCGAGAAUAGUCUACAAUGGUCGGAAGACUGAUAGUGCGACGCCGCGUGAACGAUGAAUCCCUUCGGGGUGUAAAGUUCUUUUAUAUGUGAGCAGUGCUUCUUAUAUUAACAGUAUGGGGAGAGAGAUAUUAGCAUAUGAAUAAGCGACGGCUAACUCCGUGCCAGCAGCCGCGGUAAUA
rnacentral:rRNA from 1 species